rnacentral:rRNA from 1 species
GACGAACGCUGGCGGCGUGCUUAACACAUGCAAGUCGAACGAGACGAUUGAAAGCUUGCUUUCGAAAGUCGAGUGGCAAACGGGUGAGUAACGCGUAGACAACCUGCCUUUGAGAUGGGGACAACAGUUCGAAAGGACUGCUAAUACCGAAUGUUGUAUACUUUCCACAUGGAAGAUAUAUUAAAGAUGGCCUCUAUUUAUAAGCUUUCGCUCAAAGAUGGGUCUGCGUCUGAUUAGCUGGUUGGUGGGGUAACGGCCUACCAAGGCGACGAUCAGUAGCCGGUCUGAGAGGAUGAACGGCCACAUUGGGACUGAGACACGGCCCAGACUCCUACGGGAGGCAGCAGUGGGGAAUCUUCCACAAUGGACGAAAGUCUGAUGGAGCAACGCCGCGUGAGUGAAGAAGGGUUUCGGCUCGUAAAGCUCUGUUGUCGGGGACGAAUGUGCAGUAUUUGAAUAAAGUACUGCAAUGACGGUACCUGACGAGGAAGCCACGGCUAACUACGUGCCAGCCGCCGCCGUAA